rnacentral:rRNA from 1 species
UCCUACGGGGGGCAGCAGUAGGGAAUCUUCGGCAAUGGGGGCAACCCUGACCGAGCAACGCCGCGUGAGUGAAGAAGGUUUUCGGAUCGUAAAGCUCUGUUGUAAGAGAAGAACGUGUGUGAGAGUGGAAAGUUCACACAGUGACGGUAACUUACCAGAAAGGGACGGCUAACUACGUGCCAGCAGCCGCGGUAAUACGUAGGUCCCGAGCGUUAUCCGGAUUUAUUGGGCGUAAAGCGAGCGCAGGCGGUUGGAUAAGUCUGAAAUUAAAGGCUGGGGGCUAAACAUAGGUU